AAGACCAAGGGUUCCUGUCCAACGUUAAUCGGGGCAGGGUGAGUCGACCCCUAAGGCGAGGCCGAAAGGCGUAGUCGAUGGGAAACAGGUUAAUAUUCCUGUACUUGGUGUUACUGCGAAGGGGGGACGGAGAAGGCUAUGUUGGCCGGGCGACGGUUGUCCCGGUUUAAGCGUGUAGGCUGGUUUUCCAGGCAAAUCCGGAAAAUCAAGGCUGAGGCGUGAUGACGAGGCACUACGGUGCUGAAGCAACAAAUGCCCUGCUUCCAGGAAAAGCCUCUAAGCAUCAGGUAACAUCAAAUCGUACCCCAAACCGACACAGGUGGUCAGGUAG
rnacentral:rRNA from 1 species